UAAAGAGUGCCAGGCAACGGCCAAUGGCUUCUACAAUCCCUUUCAUCCUGGACAGUCCAGUGUUGUGAUACCCUGACACCAAGACCCUUCCUUGGUUGUCUGGCACAGUGCUGCCACAUACCAUCUCAGGAACUUUCAUUUAUUUCCCUUUGUGUCCAAACAUCAGAAAGGCUUUCUGAGUUGCUUGCCAAGGUGUUCUUCAGCCUUCCCUAGGCUAAACUUCUCCAUUGGAUCAAUAGCAGGUGGUCAACAAAGACAAAAACACCAUCUUCAGAAUGACUCAGAUCAUCCUCUUGGGCAGCCCUUUUUGGAUAUCUCUAUGAAAUUCUGCAGCUGAAAGCUGACACGCAUAAUUAUUUCCUGUUAGAUACUGAAGAAAAAAAAAAGCCCAGGAGAUAUUGUCGAGACUGUUUCUGGGGUGUGAUUGGGGGAUAGGAGAUGAAUGGUGUCAGAAUUGGAACAUGAAGUAGAACUUCCAGUAACCCCUAGGAGCAUCAAGUGACCCAGAGAGGUAACCCCCUCCACCAGGGUCCAUUGCAUCCAUUGCUCUCUCACAGCAACUGAGGCUCAUGGGACUGGAGUGGAGUCGGUAGGAAGGAACAGUCUUUGAAGUUAGAUGCGCCAGGUUGUAACCCCACUUCCACCAAUUGUGGUAACUUUGUGAGACAAGCCUCAAAUUUUACCACUGUACCAAGAAAUGAAAGCCAGAAUGUGGAAUUGGAGCUGGUAAUGACGACGUCAGGACAGGUUCAAAGGAAGCCCAUCACUUGAGUAAAAAUUUAUAGCCCUGCUUGUGCUGUGCUGUGCUGUGCUGUGAGUUUCAGUUCCGGGCCAGCAAAAGAUUUAUCAAAGGAAAGCAACAAGGUGUGUGGAAAUAGAAGGUAAGAAAAAUUAAUUUCAGAGAGGAAAAUAAAGUUGCUUGAGGGGCUCUUCAAUGACCAAAGGCCAUAAGAGACUGGAAGGCAAAAGGACCCAUUAAUGUAAUCCAAACAUCAGUCUCCUGCAGCAAAGAGGUGAAUGGAGAAGGGUGGAGAGUAGCUGUGGACGAGUGAAAAAGACAUCGCACCAUGUCUUCAAAUUACAUCCAGCAACUUCAUAUGAACUAUGAAACCCUUGUUGCCACAAUAGUCC
rnacentral:lncRNA from 1 species